rnacentral:tRNA from 1 species
UGGGGCGUCGACAAGUGGUAAGUCACCAGAUUUUGAUUCUGGCAAUCGUUGGUUCGAAUCCAGCCGCCCCAACCA